GUUUCCGUAGUGCAGUGGUUAUCACGUUCGCCUCCACACGCGAAAGGUCCGUAGUGCGAAACUGGGCGGAAACA
rnacentral:tRNA from 1 species